CGGGGCGUAGCGCAGCCCGGUAGCGCACCUCCUUGGGGUGGAGGUGGUCGCAGGUUCAAAUCCUGUCGCCCCGACCA
rnacentral:tRNA from 2 species